rnacentral:rRNA from 1 species
UACGGAGGGUGCGAGCGUUGUCCGGAAUCAUUGGGCGUAAAGCGCGCGUAGGUGGCCCCAUAAGUCCGCUGUGAAAGUCAAAGGCUCAACCUUUGAAAGCCGGUGGAUACUGUGGGACUAGAGUACGGAAGAGGCGAGUGGAAUUCCUGGUGUAGCGGUGGAAUGCGCAGAUAUCAGGAGGAACACCAAUAGCGAAGGCAGCUCGCUGGGACGUUACUGACACUGAGGCGCGAAAGCCAGGGGAGCAAACGGG